rnacentral:lncRNA from 1 species
UGUUCUGCAUAAUUCUCCCAAUGACAAUGUUCAUCCCUGAGGCUGAGCUCCCAUCAUGGGUUGUAUGUUACAUUCCGGCAACUAUGUCAUUUCUCAACAUCCUCCCUUCUCCAAAAUCCUUCCCCUUCAUUGUCCCCUAUCUUCUCUUUGAGAACACCAUGUCAGUGACCAAGUUCAAUGCAAUGAUCUCAGGCCUAUUCCAGCUGGGAAGUGCAUAUGAAUGGGUUGUCACAAAGAAAUCUGGACGCUCCUCUGAGGGUGAUCUUGUCUCCCUAGUUGCAAAAGGCCCGAAGCAUCAAAGGGGAAGCUCAGAGCCUAAUAUUGGGGAGAUGGAGGAAACUUUACUGCAGGAACAAAAGGCCUCUAGGAAGAAAAAGCACAACAGGAUUUAUACAAAGGAGCUGGCAUUGGCUUUCCUUCUUCUAACAGCUUCAGCAAGGAGCCUCCUCUCUGCUCAGGGGAUCCACUUCUACUUCCUGCUAUUUCAGGGCAUAUCAUUUCUUCUGGUUGGUUUAGACUUGAUUGGAGAGC